rfam:Rattus norvegicus chromosome 16, whole genome shotgun sequence.
GGGGAUUUAGCUCAGCGGUAGAGCGCUUGCCUAGGGAGCACAAGGCCCUGGGUUCGGUCCCCAGCUCCG